rnacentral:sRNA from 1 species
AUAUGCACUUUUUGCUCCUGGUGUCCAGAUACCUAGCUUUGUAUCAUUAUUUUUUCUGAUGCCCACUUUUUAUUCUUUUUUAAAUAUCUAUAGCAGUUUUAUUUUAUUAUUAUUUAUUUUAGAUUCAGGAGGUACAUGUGCUUGUUUGUCAUAUGGAUAUAUUGCAUACUGGUGGAGAUUGGGCUUCUAGUGUACCUGUUACUCAAAUAGUGAACAUUGUACCUGAUAGGUAAUUUUUCAACCCUCGCCCCUGCCUCCACUCCUACCUUUGCCCCCUUUGGAGUCCUGGGAGUCUGUUAUUUCCGUCUCUAUGUCCAUGUGUACCCGUUGUUUAGCUCCCACUUAUAAGUGAGAACAUGCAAUAUUUGGUUUUCUGUUUCUGAGUUAAUUCACUUAGGAUAAUGGCAUCCAGCUCCAUUCAUGUUGCUGCAGAGGACAUGAUUUCAUUCUUUUUUAUGGCUGUGGAAUGCCUGCCUUUUCUAAAACCUUCUGGUACUUCCACCUUGUCCACAAGGAGUCUCCCUCCCUGGAGUUACCACCAUCUUCACCACCCCAAGUUCACUUUGCAUGACUUAGCACUUAGUCAUUUAUUGUGUUUGUUGAGGUUUCAUUAUUGGUUUCUUGACAGCCAUUGGGGGUGGGAGCGCUAUGUAUCCUAUCUCCCUUUGUUUUGUACCUUGAGCAGAGCUGAUUAUACAGCAGUUGCCCAAUAAAUGUUGAGGACAGUGGAUAGAGUGAUGGGAUUUUAUGGUCUAGGAUGGUGACCAUUAAUUUAACAAAUAUUAAUAGAAUGCCACUGUCCUAAGUGCUGGAGAUACAGCAUUGAACAAAACAAAGUCUGAAGACUGACUUGUGGUUCUUAUUUCCAGACAAAGCCCUGGACUUCCCUGGGUUCCUGGACAUGAUGGCACCUCGACUCAGGCCGAUGCGUCCACCACCUCCCCCACCGGCUAAAGCCCCGGAUCCUGGCCACCCAGAUCCCCUCACCUGAAGGCCAGGGAAGCCUUGACCCCCAGUGAUGCUGCUGUCCCUAUCUUCAAGCUGUCAGACCACACCAUCAAUGAUCCAGAACAACACAGCCAAAAGCUGGAAUCUCCCUUAUUUCCACCCUCACCUCCAAGGGUGGAAACUUGCCCCUUCCCAUUUCUGGGGCUGGAACCCACUCCUUUUUUUCCCAUUGUUCUAUCAUCUCUAGGACCGGAACUACUACUUUCUCUUCUGCCAUCACCCUAUCUAGGGUGGUGAAAUGCCUGAAAUCUCUGGGGCUGGAAACCACCCAUCAAGGUCUCUAGUGGUUCUGGCCCACGUCUUUCCCCACCCUGGCUCCAUGACCCACCCCACUCUGGAUGCCAGGGUCACUGGGGUUGGGCCGGGGAGAGGAACAGGCCUUGGGAAUCAGAAGGAGCUGGAGCCAGGAUGCGAAGCAGCUGUAAUGGUCUGAGCGGAUUUAUUGACAAUGAAUAAAGGGCACGAAGGCCAGGCCAGGCCACGGCCUGGGCCUCUUAUGCUAAGAGGGCAGGGGGCCUACGGUGCUAUUGCUUUAGGGGCCCACCAGGGGCAGGGGCCUGCUCCCAGCUGCCACGCUCUAUCAUAUGGAGCGAGGUGUUGGGGAAGGCGGGGCAGGCAGCCUGUUGCAGGCAGGGGAAGGAGAAGAGACUGAGGGGCUGUGACCUCUCCUGAGGCUCCCAGCCUGAGACUGUGCAACUCCAGGUGGAAGUAGAGCUGGUCCCUCAGCUGGGGGGCAGUGCUGUCCAGUGGAGGGGAGGGCCUUCACGUCCACCCACCCCCUGGCCCUGCCAGCUGGUAGUCCAUCAGCACAGUGAAGAAGGAGACUUGGAGAAGAGGAAGAGUAACAGUGUUGCUUCCUGUUCAAGCUGUGUCCAGCUUUUCCCUUGGGGCUCCAGGACCUUCCCUACCUCCACCACCAAACCAAGGGAUUUAUAGCAAAGGCUAAGCCUGCAGUUUACUCUGGGGGUUCAGGGAGCUGAAAGGCUUAAGUAUUUUAAAUAGGUGACAUGAAGAUGAGAUUACCUCAUUUAGGGCUCAGGCAGACUCACCUCACAUACUCCCUGCUCCCUGUGGUAGAGACACCUGAGAGAAAGGGGAGGGGUCAACAAUGAGAGACCAGGAGUAGAUCAUAUCAGUGCCCCCCAGAGUAGAGAGCAAUAAGAGCCCAGCCCAGUGCAGUCCCGGCUGUGUUUUCCUACCUGGUGAUCGGAAGUGUCUGGUUUGCUUGGCUGCCCAUUUGCCUCUUGAGUGGGCAGCCCUGGGCUUGGGCCCCUCCCUCCGGCCCUCAGUGUUGGCUCUGCAGAAGCUCUGCAGUUCCCUUCAAGUGCACGAGGGGCUAGGCUGCUGUCCCUGAGUCCUCCAUUCUGUACUGGGGGGCUGGCUAGGACCUGGGGCUGUGGCCUCUCAGGGGGCAGCCUCUCCAUGGCAGGCAUCCCUGCCUUGGGCUGCCCUCCCCCAGACCCCUGACCACCCCCUGGGUCCUGUCCCCCACCAGAGCCCCAGCUCCUGUCCGUGGGGGAGCCAUCACGGUGUUCGUGCAGUCCAUAGCGCUUCUCAAUGUGUGUCACCCGGAACCUGGGAGGGGAGGGAACACUGGGGUUUAGGACCACAACUCAGAGGCUGCUUGGCCCUCCCCUCUGACCAGGGACAUCCUGAGUUUGUGGCUACUUCCCUCUGGCCUAAGGUAGGGGAGGCCUUCUCAGAUUGUGGGGCACACUGUGUAGCCUGACUUCUGCUGGAGCUCCCAGUCCAGGAGGAAAGAGCCAAGGCCCACUUUUGGGAUCAGGUGCCUGAUCAUUGGGCCCCCUACCUCAGCCUCCCUUUCCCUGGAGCACCUGCCCCACCUGCCCACAGAGAACACAGUGGUCUCCCCUGUCCGGGGGCGGCUUUUUCCUUCCUUGGAGCGUCCCUGACGGACAAGUGGAGGCCUCUUGCUGCGGCUGCAAUGGAUGCAAGGGGCUGCAGAGCCCAGGUGCACUGUGUGAUGAUGGGAGGGGGCUCCGUCCUGCAGGCUGGAGGUGGCAUCCACACUGGACAGCAGGGAGGAGGGGAGCAAGGGUAACAUUUCCAUUUCCCUUCAUGUUUUGUUUCUUACGUUCUUUCAGCAUGCUCCUUAAAACCCCAGAAGCCCCAAUUUCCCCAAGCCCCAUUUUUUCUUGUCUUUAUCUAAUAAACUCAAUAUUAAGAUGUU